CGGCCUAGGCGGGGGUGGGGCAGACCCCUGUCCUGCCCUCGACCCCCCAAAGCUGCUGGCAGGCGCGGGGCGCCGGGCCGGUGGGUGUGCAUGCUCGUAUCCGUGCGUGCAUUCAUUCACUCUGGUGUCCAGCACUUACUGAGCGCGUGCCGCGUGCCAGGUGGGGAUGCGCGGAUGCAACGGGACGCGUUUCCCAGAGGCCGCGGUCACAUCAACCGGACCGAGUGGGAGCUUCCGGGCCCGCCGGCCGCCCGGGCGUGGGUGUCGGGGGUGGCUGCCAAACCCCGGCUCACCUCGGAGCUGGCGGCCCGCUCCGUUACUCGCCACUGCAUUGACCUGUGUGUGAAAAUUUGCUCGCCGGUUUUGUUGACUGUGGUAGCCCUAAUCGUUCCCGGCACGUAGUAGGCCUCAAAUGUGUGGUGCACGAACCAAGCAUAGGCCCCCGUUCUCCGCCCACCGGGUCCGGACGGCUCGUCCCGAAGGCCGGGAGAGUGGCGCUCUGGGCGGGCGGCGCGGGCUGUGCACAGUGAGCGCUGUGGUCCAGUCCCGGAGGAGGACCCCUCUUGGAACGCCCCAGAGGGGCCUGUGGGGCCAAACCCGCUCUGCCAGACAGAGCUUGGAAAGGCAGAGGAAGAGGAAGCAGGGGUCCCACGACGGGGAGAUGCUCUGAGCUUGGAAGCUCAGUCCAGACUCAUGCCCAGACUGCCCUCUUCCUCGGAACAUUCGAGAAAAUGGAGUUUCUCUCCCAGCUGCCCAGUGCUGGCCUGCUGUGGGCUCCCCUGGCUUUGCUGCGGAUCACCUCACCUCCCAGAACUUUGGGGUAUGAGGUGCCACCGCUAUGCCGGGCGUCUGAAGGAAGGCGCGGGGUGGGCGGGCGGAGCACUCUCUGUCACUGCCCAGCGCACACCGGGGGAAAGCCGCCCUCACACCGGCGUGUGUGUAGCCCACUGAACAAGGAUUUGAAGAUAUCGCAAGGGUCUCACCAGGCGGAAAGAGAAAACCUAAAGUGCAGCACCUCACCUCAAGAUUUCUACAGGCCACAGCGCCUCCUGAUGCAGACACUAAGGCACAACAGAGAUCGAGCAACUUAUGCAAAGUGUCACUCAGCCAACACACCCCAUCGAGCAUACAGGAGGCUCUGCCUCUUGGAAUAAAAAUCAGACAUCCCACGGGAACUUCUGAGGUUGUCCUGUCGCUGCUAGAUGUAUGCAAGGAACAAGUCAUCUUCGUAACUCCGCAGCACGGCAAACAGCUCGGCACCUCCUCCAUAGACGACGUUCAGUGACUAAAUGACUGACUUCGCCUGUAACCCUCCUGACUUCCUCAGUCUCCCCCAAGUCUUCACCUCCAAGCUGUGCUUGUCCUUGUUAGCGCAACCUCAUGGGACUAACAUCUCCCCACCCCCAAACUUUAGCCUACCAGUGGGGAAUCUGGGAAUUCAGAAAUGCAGCUUAUCACUCAGUGGCUGAUCCUGGACCAAACCAAGCACCGUUUCUCCCUGACGGAGACAUGGGAUGGAAGCAUGGAGCCGUGGCACAGGGAGGUUGGAAGGGCUAUCCACCGAGCACUUGCUAAGACCUGCUGUGUGUACAAUGUACUAAUAAGGUGAAGAUCCCAAGGCAGGUCAGGCUUUAUGGCAUUUGGGUGAUUAUAAUGGGAUUGAAGAGGUAAACCCCAAACACAUGCAAGGAACAUCAGUGUGGCCCUAUGUUCAUGCCUACCUAAUACAUAAAAGGGACAUCAGUGUGACCCCAUGUCCAUGCCUACCUAAUACAUAAAAGGGACAUCAGUGUGCCCCCAUGUCCAUGCCCACUUAACGCAUAAAAUGGACAUCAAUGUGGCCCCAUGUCCAUGCCCACCUAAUGCAUAAAAGGGACAUCAGUGUGGCCCCAUGCCCACCUGAGAUGCACAUGGAUGAAGUUAGCUACCAAAAUUCCAGAUGCUUAACACAACAGACAUGGAGAAGGAGAAGAGGAGCUCACAGCAGAAGAGAAAGCUGAAAAGAUGUGCAAAGAAUGGCCAGAAAGAUAUGGAUAUGUUGAAGUGGUUAGUGAGCAGACACCACGAGGGAGGUGGUGCAGAAGUUUGUAGAGGAGCAAUCAAGCCCCUGACCAGGAGGGAAUCAGUGGGCUCCUGUUGGGGAAGGGGUGGCCUGUGCCUGAGUCCUAAAGCUUUGUCGGUGUUGGCAAGAGCCACAGCCCAGGCCCCAUACGCCCCAGGUACCUGAUUAUUUCUGGAUCCCCAGGAAAAGUCCAUGUCUCCUGUUUCAUUUUCACCACACACCCCCACCUGGGAAGGAGCCUGAGAUGCUGUAUUCAGAGUGACCAGCAGUGAUGUCGUCAGGGUGGGGACUGGCUGCCCACUGAGGUGAGGCCCCUAGGCAGACUUUCUGUGGUGUUUGAUUUCUUACCCCACUCCCCAAAGCCACAAUUUCAAAAACUGAACAUUAUUUCGUAACUCUAGGUCUUCCCGAUGACAGGACUAUUCACCUCUCUAAUCAGGGCUCCCCUCCUCACAUCGGGACAGGCAGGAGAGCCCGUGGUGAGCUGACGUGGGGCCAGAGGUGGCUGUGCAGACUCUGGAGCACUCACCCCGGCAGGGCCAGAGCCCCCGGCCUCCGCCUGGCCCACAGCAGGCCCCAUCCCGGGGUCACUCAGGUCCUCCUAGGAUGGAGCAACACAAAGUCACCAUACCUUCCCCCUUCGUAUAUGUUUCUAGCCAACCACAACUUUCCAUAGAUCACAGUUCCCAGUGGUCAUAUUUAGUCCAGAAGAUGCCCCAUCAUCUUGAUUAAAUGUAGGCUCGUGCUAGGUCUCCUUCAGCAGCACAGGUGCGGAGGGCCCCAACUGCCAAAUUCUCAGAGGGCGAGCUUACCUCCAAAUUACUGUAGCUCCCUGGGUACCAGAGGAUCCCAGAUGCAAUCUGGGGAAGUGGUUCUCACUUCUCCAUCCACCCUCCCUCCAGGAGGCCAAGGACUUCAGGCUUCAGAAGUCCUGCUGAAGUGGCCAGAGAAGGGGGCUGGAAGGGGAGUAAGGAGGCCUUUAGCCAUGGGGCAGGCCUGCUAGUAACCGAGCCACUCUGCGAGAGUGAUGCAGGAGCGACAGGCAGCAAGAGCCCGGGCCCAGCUUUGAGGUCAGAGAUACGACGUGGCCAGAGCAGGUCCAGGGUGCAUAGCUGAGUGCAAGCUAAGAGGCCUUCAAAUCCCAUCUGUUGCUGUAAAGUCCCAAUGAAUGCAGCUUCCCAGAGACUCGGGGCUUACUGCAAAAAGAAAUUUGUGUGUUCUGGGCCCUCAGAAAAAUAAAAGUAAAUUAAAUUGUAUCACCCAGUGCUCCUCCAAAGGAGAAAGGGCGGUGAGCUCGGGUGCAGUGCUCUGCUCUUUCCCACCAGGCUGGAUCAGAGAGGCUUGCCUAGAGCAGACGCCGCUUCUCCCUGGCCUGAGGGCCUGUGGAGGAAAGUCGGUGCCCACGUGCUGGGCUGCCUCAGCCCCACAGGCCUCCUCCUAAGCUGUGCAUGGGGGUGAAGGUGUUGGUCUAGGAGGCUCCCCUUCCUGGAUGGGACCUAGAGAGCAGGUGACCCAGGUGAAGUAGGGCAGAAGGGAGGGUGCAGGGCAGGUGCUGGUGGGGAGCCAACCAGCGAGUGCCCCUGUGACAGAAGACAGUGGAUGCAGAGGGCCUGGGGGAGAAAGAAAACCUGGAGGGCUGAGAAAGGAUGGAGGGCGGCCCUGAGCACAGUGCACAGAACCAAUUCUAAGCGUGGCUAUAAAGCCCUUCUGCUCUUGGCCUGCUGCCUGCACCCCUUCCCCUCCCUCCCCGCCCAGCUCCUGGGCUCCUUGUCCUCAGGCACAGCACCGGCUCUGGCACUGUAGCCAGGUAGGGGGCACCUGACUAUGGGCGGCCCUGCUCGUGCUCCUUCUCUAUCGGCCUUGCUCCUGCUGUACUUGUGCAAGAGCCUGGCCAGGCUCCCUGCAUGGGGCUCCCACCUUCCUCACUCUUUAAAACUUGCAAAGGAAUUGAUUUGCCCAUAAAAUAUAAUGGUAUUUGUCUCUUAAGCUAAUAUUUUAUGGGAAU